ensembl:snRNA U1 U1 spliceosomal RNA
AUACUUACCUGGCAGGGGAGAUACCAUGAUCACGAAGGUGGUUUUCCCAGGGCUUGUCCAUUGCACUCCGGAUGUGCUAACCCUUGCGAUUUCCCCAAAUAUGGGAAACUCGACUGCAUAAUUUGUGGUAGUGGGGGACUGCAUUCGCGCUUUCCCCUG